AGUUAUUUUUAUUAUCCACAAUAGUUAUUAUUAUUUUUAUGUAUUAUAUUAACCAUUUUUGACAGUUCUUACAAUACUUAUAUUUACAAUGUGAUUAUUUGCAAUUUAAUAAACAACCAUAAAUAUAACUUAAUUAAAAAUAAUUACAAUAUAAAAAAAAAAAGAAAACAGUUGUCCUUAAAAGCGUAUAAUUAAAAAAGAUCCUUAAAUUGAUGACCAAUUGUGUGCAAAAGCAAACAAAAUUAAACACAUUCCUUUGAAACAACACGCUUAAAUGCAUUAUAAUAAGCUCGAAUAAAUAUUCCAAUACAUUAAAUGAAAAUAAUCGUAAUUAUUAUAUCAUAAUAAAUGACGAUAAAUGAUUAUUUAAAUAGCAAUGGAAGUGAUGAUAUCUUGCAUAUGCACUUUUGUCAUGUUUGUAGGUUUGGUUGAAAUGUGUAUAGGAUUUGUUGCAGGAUCAUUUUAAAAGGUAUUAGGAUUUGUUACAAUGGCUUGAGAAUUUGUUAAAAUGGUUUGAGAAUUUGUUAAAAGGUGUUGGGAUUUGUUAAAAUGGUUUGAGAAUUUGUUAAAAUGGCUUGAGAAUUUGUUAAAAGGUGUUGGGAUUUGUUAAAAUGGUUUGAGGAUUUUAUCAAAAAUGUUAAGAAUCAUUUUAAAGGUAUUUGGAAUGUGGUCGCAAGGUUCUUAGGAUUCAUUCAGGGUGUUGAUUCGGGGGAAGGGGUAACAUGAAUAACAUUUACGAAGCACUUAUUUGCUGUUAAAUUAGAAGCAAAUUAGAGAAAAAAAAAAAAAAUUAAAGUUAUUUACUAAUCACAGUUAUUGAAAUAUUAUCAAAAUAAAUAGUUAUUGAAGUAAUUGUAAAGUAGUGGAAGUAAAUAAUUAAGUACGUAUGUAUUUUAUUAAUUGACUAUUUAAUUAAAUGGUUUAGUAUGUAAUUAAUUAAAUAAAUGAGUAAAGUGAGCAAUUAACUAAGUGAACGAGUAAGUAAUUAAUUAACUAAUUAAAUGAGUAAGUAAUUAGGUAAUUAGGUAAUUAAAUAAUUAAUUACAUAAAAUAAGUUAAUCAAGAAGUACUUAUUAAAUGACGCAUUUAAACAUUUAUGAUGAAGAAUGUUGGGGAAUUCAGUGAUAUAAAAUAAUUAAUAUAAGUAUGCCAAGUAAUUGGUAUUUUGUUGUCCAUUUUUUUUAUACAAAAUAAAAAAAAAAAAAAUAUCCAUUUAUGAAUAAUGUAUAAUGUUUUUAAUAAAACAAUUUUUUAUAUUUUUGCUAAAAAGGAAAAUGCAUAAUGUUUUGAAUUGUUGGAAGUGGAGAAGACAUACAUUAUACAGUUCUUUAAUUAGUAAAAGUUAUUGUAACAAUGUUUAAAAGUGCUAUAAACAUGUUAUUCCAACUGUAUAGGUAAUAAAAUGUUGAGAAAUAAAAAAAAAA